ensembl:snoRNA SNORD16 Small nucleolar RNA SNORD16
UGCUAUGAUGUCGUAAUUUGCGUCUUACCUAGCGUUCAGUGACAGUUGCCUGCUGUCAGUAAACUGGCGCUUUCUGGGUGAAGACUACUUGUAACUGAGCA